rnacentral:misc_RNA from 1 species
AUCUCCAGUUACAGCAACAACAUGGCCAUUGCUCCUUAGUGCUUGAACAAGCAAGAGUUUGUCAUUGGGCGACGAUCUUCCCAUAACCGAUAUUUUAUCUGCCACGUUCUUUCUUUCCUCAUCAGACAUAGCUCUAAACCUCUUUCCUUCGAUCAGAUUUGGCUCAGUUGCAUCAGCAUCAGAUCUAAGUAUCCCACAUUCCAAAGCUAUUGCCCUUGCUGUUUGUAAGUUGUCACCAGUAACCAUCCUUACCUUCACGCCAGCAUCAAUACAUAACUGAACUGCAUCUCUUACCCCUGGUCGGCAUGGAUCCUUAAUGCCAACAAUUGCAAGCAAUAUUAGGUCACCCUCAGGUAUUUCCCAGUGAUCUAUUUCUUCCUCAGUAGGUACUUUAUCCACCUCAUAUGGCCGGUAUGCAAUAGCAACACAUCUCAAACUCGAAGCAGCCAUGUUGCUAAUUGCUUCCUUGAGAAGUGACAUCUUAUCAUCACCCAGAGGAACUACCGACCCAUUCUCAUCAAUGAAGCUUGUACAACAAGAGAGAACAAUUUCAGCAGCUCCUUUCCAAUGCAAGUGAACCUCAGAAUCCAGCUUCACAGCAACGCCACCUCUUUUUUUCUCUGAGUUG